rnacentral:rRNA from 1 species
CUUACCAAGGCGAUGAUCAGUAGCGGUUCUUUUCUGAGUAUCCGCCACACCGGGACUGAGACACGGCCCGGACUCCUAUGGGGGGCAGCAGUGGGGAAUCUUGGACACUGGGCUUUUGCCUGAUCCAGCAAUCUUUCUUGAGUGAUGAGGGGCCUUUUCGCUCGUCAAGCUCUUUCGUGCAUUCUUUGAUGUUGACAGUCCUGUUCUAUGAAGCCCCGGCUAAUUCCGUGCCAGCAGCCGCGGUAAGACGGGAGGGGCGAGUCUUCUUCGGAAUGACUAGGCGUAAAGGGCACGUAGGCGGUGAAGUUUGAGAACUGCUUCAUUAAUUAAUUCAGCAUUAAUUUCUUUGAAUUGCAUUUUUUCUCUUUGGUUUCUAGUGAAAUGGAUCAUGUAUUGGUCUAGUCCUAGGCUAACUGCUUGACUUGGGUGGUAUCUAGGAGAGUGGAAUUUCGUGUGUAGGGGUGAAAUCCGCAAAUCUACGAAGGAAGGCCUAAAGCGAAGGCAGCUCUCUGGGUACGUACCGACGCUGAGGUGCGAAAGCAUGGGUAGCAAAGAGGAUUAGAGACCGUCUUAGUCCAUGCCGUAAACGAUGAGUCUUAUUCCUCGGCUCUUCUUCCUUUUCUUUGUCAAAGAGAGAGGGCGAGAUCGGAGUCGGGGUCACAGCUAAUGCGUUAAAGACUCCGCCUGGGGAGUACGGUCGCAAGACUGAAACUCAAAGGAAUUGACGGGGACCCGCACAAGCGGUGGAGCAUGUGGUUUAAUUCGAUACAACGCGCAAAACCUUACCAGCCCUUGACAUAUGAAAAAGCCUGCCCUAGAAUUAGGUGGAUCUCUUCAUACAGGUGCUGCAUGGCUGUCGUCAGCUCGUGUCGUGAGAUCUUUGGUUAAGUCCUCUAACGAGCGCAACCCUCGCCUUGUCUUGCUAAGACAUACACUGACGGAGAAUACAAGAACUAGGAAACUGCGUAUUUCAACCUAAGUAGUUUACGAAGACUUUCACUAGGAAAGAGACUCCACAAAGAUUCAAGGAAGUUGGAAGCAAAAGAGGUCUCUUUGAGUCUUGCUCGAAGAAUGAUUGACUUUGUCUCUGGACCGGCUUUCUUAGGUGCGUGCUGCACUGACGAGGGACUGCCAGUCAGAUACUGGAGGGAGGAGAGGAUGACGUCAAGUCCGCAUGGCCCUUAUGGGCUGGGCCACACACGUGCUACAAUGACUCUCACAAUCAGAAGCAAGGCUGAAAGGCAGAGCGAAUCUAGAAAGAGAGUCCUAGUUCGGAUUCUUCUCUGCAACUCGAGAAGAUGAAGUUGGAAUCGCUAGUAAUCGCGAAUCAGCAUGCCGCGGUGAAUAGAAAGACAGGCCCUGUACACACCGCCCGUCACACCCUGGGAAUAGGCUACGCCCUAAGCAUCAAAGAAAGAUGAGUCCCAUAGAAUUUUCUUAAUACAAAGGGAAGCACUUAAGAAAGGAGGCUCUUGGAUCUCAAAGAGAAUCUGAUAAG